CCAAAUCAUUUAAACCCAAUUAAAGUUACGAAUUUGGGCUGUUCAAAAAACUCAUAUUUGAACUUUCCACAAUUGGCCAGCCCAUCAUUCACAUGUUUUAAAGUGAAAAUUUGAAACAACUCUUUAAGCUUAUUUGCCUUUGAUCUUGUUACUGGUCUGCUGAAACUUUCCAGAUUUAGAACUCUAUUUGUGUUUACGUCAUUUGAAAUUUGCUACAAGUCACCUUUUGAUGCUCUUUGAGUAUCUUGAGUGUUUUUAGCCUUGUUUGCAUAAGGAAAUACAGAGAAGUAUAGCUCAACGCCAAGAGGUAAAUUAAAUAACAAGAUAUCUGCGGCUAAUGUGAAGAAUUUUUUAGAGAGCUUUUCAUGAAGAUGUCU
rnacentral:lncRNA from 1 species